UAGUUAAUGCUGUGGACUAAAGGGGUAUCU
rnacentral:piRNA from 1 species